GACGAACGCUGGCGGCGUGCCUAAUACAUGCAAGUAGAACGCUGAAGGAGGAGCUUGCUUCUCCGGAUGAGUUGCGAACGGGUGAGUAACGCGUAGGUAACCUGCCUGGUAGCGGGGGAUAACUAUUGGAAACGAUAGCUAAUACCGCAUAACAGUAGAUAUUGCAUGAUAUCUGCUUGAAAGGUGCAAUUGCAUCACUACCAGAUGGACCUGCGUUGUAUUAGCUAGUUGGUGAGGUAACGGCUCACCAAGGCGACGAUACAUAGCCGACCUGAGAGGGUGAUCGGCCACACUGGGACUGAGACACGGCCCAGACUCCUACGGGAGGCAGCAGUAGGGAAUCUUCGGCAAUGGACGGAAGUCUGACCGAGCAACGCCGCGUGAGUGAAGAAGGUUUUCGGAUCGUAAAGCUCUGUUGUAAGAGAAGAACGAGUGUGAGAGUGGAAAGUUCACACUGUGACGGUAUCUUACCAGAAAGGGACGGCUAACUACG
rnacentral:rRNA from 1 species